UCCCAGCUGGGAGCCAUGAAGUUCUUACAUGCAGUGCUGAGGGAGACCUGAGGUUGCAGCAAAAGUGAAGGGUAUGGAGCUGGGAGGUGGUAGGAAAGAGCAACACCUGCCUGAAGAGAAAAGCGAAGGAGCCAUGGGGAAGGGCGUCGGGCAUAAAGCCAGCCCCACCUAGACCAGCAGUCCAGCUCACACAUCAUCUAAGAGACUUUGCAGGACAGAGCAGGGUUCCUGGAUCAGUUGACCUGGAAUGAGAGGUCAGAUUCCUGGGAACCAGUAGGGGCAGUGACAUCAGAGCAGUGACGUCACUGCCUCACCUCCGAUCAGAGGAAGGAGGCCCAGAACCCCAGCUCUCAGAGAAGCAGAGCUCUGAGCAAGGAUACGCCUCCCAGCUCUGGCCCUCCUGCCAUGAGCUACAACUCCGUCUGCUGUGUGGCUCUUCGUCUCCUGGCAGCAGGCUUUGUGGAUUCUGGAGUCACCCAAACCCCGAGAUACCUGAUUAAAGCAAGAGGACAGCGAGGGACCCUGGGCUGCUCCCCUGUCUCUGGACACCUCUCCGUGUACUGGUACCAACAGGCCCUGGGCCAGGGCCCCGAGUUCCUCGUUGAGUAUUACAGGCAGGAAGUGAGCGGAGAAGCACAGCUCCGGGAUCGAUUCUCAGGAAAACAGUUUAGUGAGUUUCACUCUGAGCUGAACUUGAGCUCCUUGGAGCUGACAGACUCAGCCGUGUAUCUCUGUGCCAGCAGCCAAGACACAGCCCUGCAUGAUCAGGUGCCUCUGGGACAGAAACACUCCUGCCCCAGCUCAGGAAGUGGCUGUGAGGGUGACUGCCUGCCUGUCAGGCCUCGAUAGAUCCGAAAGACUCUCCCAGACGUUCUUCCUCUGCUGUGUUUUAAUGCUUUCAAAGAUCAUCCUGCUGCUAAGUCACUUCAGUCGUGUCCGACUCUGUGCGACCCCAUAGACAGCAGCCCACCAGGCUCCCCCGUUCCUGGGAUUCUCCAGGCAAGAACACUGGAGUGGGUUGCCAUUUCCUUCU